AGUGAACGCUGGCGGUAGGCCUAACACAUGCCAGUCGAACGGCAGCACAGUAAGAGCUUGCUCUUACGGGUGGCGAGUGGCGGACGGGUGAGGAAUACAUCGGAAUCUACUUUUUCGUGGGGGAUAACGUAGGGAAACUUACGCUAAUACCGCAUACGACCUACGGGUGAAAGCAGGGGAUCUUCGGACCUUGCGCGAUUGAAUGAGCCGAUGUCGGAUUAGCUAGUUGGCGGGGUAAAGGCCCACCAAGGCGACGAUCCGUAGCUGGUCUGAGAGGAUGAUCAGCCACACUGGAACUGAGACACGGUCCAGACUCCUACGGGAGGCAGCAGUGGGGAAUAUUGGACAAUGGGCGGAAGCCUGAUCCAGCCAUACCGCGUGGGUGAAGAAGGCCUUCGGGUUGUAAAGCCCUUUUGUUGGGAAAGAAAAGCAGCAGGUUAAAACCCCGCUGUUCUGACGGUACCCAAAGAAUAAGCACCGGCUAACUUCGUG
rnacentral:rRNA from 1 species